AUGCUAUGGAAUUAUGGGAUUCAAAAAGGGGACAAAAACGACCCAGCUAAUUACUGUCCCAUCAGCCUGCUCUCGGUGGUGGGAAAACUCUACGCUUGCCACUUAUAUAAUAGGUUCCUAGACUGGUUGGACUCCGAAAAAGUAAUAGGUGAGGAACAGGCAGGCUUUAGAAAAGGGAGGUCUACCAUAGACCACUGUAUUGUGCUAAACCACCUUGCAGAAAAAUACCAAAAAUGCCCCUACAAGGGACUAUUUACCGCUUUCAUCGAUCUAAAAGCUGCGUUUGAUUCAGUCCCAAGAAAUUUGCUGUGGCAAAAAUUGCAGGAGACCACAAUCGACAAAAGGUUGCUUUGGUUGAUCAAGAGCUUAUACUCAGACACUACAAUACAAGUAAGAUGUGGUGUGCAAGGCAACCUCUCAAAACCAAUAGCUGUCAAUAGAGGGGUGCGUCAGGGCUGUAUCCUGGCCCCUAUUCUGUUUAAUUUAUACCUGAAUGACUUGGCCGCCCAUGUUUCACUACCAAAUGGACAUCCCCCUAAAAUCUCAUCCACUAAUAUACCCCUAUUGCUGUAUGCAGAUGAUGCUGCCCUCAUAUCCUACACCAUGGUAGGACUCAAGCGAGUGCUGAGGGCAUUCUAUGAAUACUGCGAGAAAAAUCAGCUAAAGAUAAACUACAGUAAAACCAAAAUCAUGAUUUUCUCAAAAAAGCGAGCCAGACAUAAUUGGUAUAUAGGAGAGAACUUAAUACAACAAGUUUCUUCCUUUAAAUACCUGGGGGUGACCUUUCAGGCCUCAGGUUCCUGGGGAUGUCAUCAAAAAAUGGCCAUACAAAAUGCUUUAUCCAGUAGUAAAGCUAUAAUAUGCUUUUUCUACACAAAAGGUGGUCAAUAUAUCCCUGCUGCAGUAAAGGUUUUCCAAGCUAAAGUAACAGCCCAGCUACUUUAUGCAAUUCCCGUCUGGAUCACAGGCUUCUCAUCCAAAGCUGAACAAGUUCAGUCAGGGUUCCUUAGAAAACUGUUCGCUGUCCCCAAUUGUGUUCCAUCUGCUGUUUUAAGACUUGAAUCAGGAACAGUCUCAUUGGAAUCAACAGCUUGGAGAAGAGCCCUAGGAUAUUGGAUUGAGAGGCUAUACAAAGGACCUGAAGCAGGAUAUAUAUAUUUGAUUCAAAAAGACCUCUUCAAAUCCCACCAAAUCAAAGCAUUAAAUGAGAAGUUUAGGCAAUUGGGGCUUUCAGAGAACAUACUGAGGGGUUUUGAGUAUAAAAAUACUGUGAAGAUCUUAGCAGAACGAAUUAGCGACAUAGACAAACAGACCUCAAUGACUCGGGCGCGCUCCACAUGCUCCACAUUGACUCUGGGCCUAACAUUUAAUUCUAUGGGAGGUGCUAAAUAUCUAGAAAAUUUAAAUAUCCCAAAAUUUCGCCUUGCUUUUAGCUGGGCCAGAUUUAAUGCACUCAAAUCAGCCAUACUAGAGGGUAGAUAUAAAGGCACUGAGUAUGAACAAAGAGCAUGCCCUUGCGGGGAGGGUAACGUCGAAACUGUAACAUAUGUACUUUUUAUUUGUACAAUUUACAAAGAUGAUAGAUUAAGAUUAAUAUCCCCUCUACUCACUAAAUGGCCAGGAAGAACACUAAAUUGGUACCGCAGCUGUUUACUGUCCGAUCUUGAUAAAAGGGUAACGGAGCAGGUAGCUAAAUUUCUCUUUUCAGCGGCAAAAAGCCGUAAGGGCUUCAUGAAAAAUCUGUGUUGA
ensembl:lncRNA